rfam:Bosea sp. Root483D1 contig_5, whole genome shotgun sequence.
AUCGAGAGACGGGGGCGUUCGCCGCAAGGCGAGCUGAGAAGCACCCUUCGAACCUGAACCAGAUCAUGCUGGCGGAGGGAGUCGCUCGGGGCAGCCU